UACAGAGGUCCCAAGCGUUGUUCGGAUUCACUGGGCGUAAAGGGUGCGUAGGUGGCUUGGUAAGUUUGAUGUGAAAUCUCCGGGCUUAACCCGGAAAUGGCAUUGAAUACUAUUGAGCUGGAGGUUUGGAGGGGGGACUGGAAUUCUCGGUGUAGCAGUGAAAUGCGUAGAUAUCGGGAGGAACACCAGUGGCGAAGGCGAGUCCCUGGACAACACCUGACACUGAGGCACGAAAGCUAGGGGAGCAAACAGG
rnacentral:rRNA from 1 species